rnacentral:misc_RNA from 1 species
UUUCCGUAGGUGAACCUGCGGAAGGAUCAUUAAAGUUAUAGUCCCCUGGCCCUCUGGGCUGGGGUCUUCUAUACCACCCUUUGUUUAUUACACCUUUGUUGCUUUGGCAGGCCUGCCCUCGGGCUGCUGGCUCCGGCCGGCGAGCGCCUGCCAGAGGACCUAAACUCUGUUUGUCUAUAGUGUCUGAGUACUAUAUAAUAGUUAAAACUUUCAACAACGGAUCUCUUGGUUCUG